rnacentral:sRNA from 1 species
UUUCUCGACCGCACGGAGGGAUUCUCCUC